rnacentral:tRNA from 1 species
GCGCCGGUAGCUCAGUCGGUAGAGCAGCUGCCUUUUAAGCAGACGGUCGAGGGUUCAAUUCCCCCCCGGCGCA